AGAGGGGACGCGUCCCCACCGCCGCCCGCUCGCACACGCACGGCACUCCGCCGCCGCAGCGCUCUUGGAGCGGCACCGCGGCUUGCUCGGGGCUCCUCGGCUCGCGCUUCUCUCCUCAGAAAUUCAGGCAGAGCCGCGGCGGAGAGCGGGAAAGGUCCCCCUUCUGCUCUGCUGACGGAGGCUCCCACCGCCCCGGCAGAAGGAGCCCCGCUCUGCGGAGCAGAGAAGCCCCAGUCCAGCCAAGACUGGCAGCAAUUGGACGCCUGUGGCUGUGCAAUGCCCCUCGCCUACAUGGAGACUCCGGGCAAAGUCUGCACCCUCCUGCACAAUCAAUGUCUUCACAUUAAAGGUUUGUACUGCAGGAAACUAAUCUGAAAGCUAUCUUAAAAUCUUUUGUCUUAAAAUCUUUUUUUUUUCCUUUUUCAGGAGAAAAAAAAAAAAAGUGCAUAUUCAGAAGAGAAUUCUAAUGUAAGAAUUCUUCUGCUAGUAGUAAGACUUCAGCAACUUAAAGCUAUGUUGCACUGUGGAAAAAGUGAGAAUAUUGGCUCAUCUAUUAAGACAUCUCAGAUCUCAGCCCUUCUGAAUGAACAUUGAUCAAUGCUGUUUCUUAAUUUGAUGUAGUCUUUUUUUUUUCCCCAUUAUUUUUUACAUACGUGAAAUUGAAAAAGAAAAAUUGAGCAGGAAUGAUCACAACCGAUUUACUGCCCUGGAAGAAGAAGGUGCCCUGUAUUACUUUGAUUUGUGAAAUCGUGCGUUUUAUAAAAAGCCACUUUUCACAUGUAAGCAAGAUCUUUCAAUAUUUCAGAAGACAAUGGCACAACCUCUGGAGAAUAAAGGCAUUGAAAGAAGUAGCUAAGAGGAAGACAAACACAGCACAGUUUGUGGGAAUUAGCACCCUUUACAAAGCCUAGAUGAGGGCAGAAACACACUGAAUCACAUUCUUCCAACGCGAUAAUUUUUACUCUUGUUCACACAACUGAAUAGCCAAUAAGCACGAAUCUCCUCCCGAACGCUUGCAGCCCGUUACGCAACGUAAAUUGGGCACAUAGGUAAUGAUUUCACGAUAUGAAGGAAGAGAAUGAUGUGCCUUGCUUGCUUGCUAGCCAAAAUGCAUUUCUGAGGCAGGAAAUCAAAAACACAUCCCAAGCCCUGAAAGUAGACUGCCCGCACUCGCCCUGCUGCCAUUAGAGGCUGUCAGGAGGCUGUCAGCUCCAGGAGCCACCGCCACCCAAGGCAAGGCUGCCCCGGUGCCUCCUCCCUGGGAGCGUGCUUUCUGAUCACCCUUUGCUAACAGACAGUGAGGAAAUAUUGCACUGCUGUUGCAGCUGCUUGGAGAACUCCUCAAAUACAGUGCAAACACCGCACUGAAACAAAGCAACGGGAGAAUGCUGCAGCAGAGACCUCAGCUGAGAGGCAAGAUGCAAGAUUUAUUAUGACACAGUGCAGAGGAUAUCUGAAAGGGAAGUCUAACCAAAGCAUUAAUGUGUCUUUUCCUCUUUCCUUCCCUCUUCCCCCUACCCCCCAUGUUAUUUUCCUUUGCAAUUCCUAUGUAUACAUAUAAAAUUGUUUCUUUUCUCAAGUGAAACGGCAUCUAAAAUGAUGAAGAAUUUUAGGAGGUGACUGUUUCCUAAGAUCUUUUCUACUUGUUUUGUUCUGUGUUCCAGUGUUCUCUACCCACAGGACUCUGAAACGCUGAGAUUUCAGCAGUUCAUAUGUCUGCCUGCCCACCUCUUUUAUUAAAGGGUUGUGUUUCUCUUCUGUCAACACCUAUUCUUUAGCAUACAUCUCUGCUAUCAUUCAGGAAAAUGUUGGCAUAACAUUUUUUUUUUCUUUUUCUUUUUUUCCUUUUAAAUUCAUUUCUGUAGCCGGGCUUUUCCUUUUAAGUCUCCUUCAUUUCUGUCAUCGGUUUCAACCCCGAAGUUCUCACUUUUGCAAGACAAUGCGCUAUUUUCACACGUGUAAAACACUGAGCAAAGUGGAAUCGCAGAUGUCACAUUUACAUGUUUAUGUUUUUUGUUUCUUUUUUUUUCUCUGCCGGUCGCUCACUUCAACUCUCCAAGCCCAAGAUACUGCAGUGGAGCUGAGAUUCCCUGCGUUCCUGCAUGCAGACCUCCAGCUUUCUGAAACGAGUAGUAUGAUAUAGGUGAACUCAUCUGAGGAUCAGGUGGGAGAUGGAGUACAGAAAGAUCAACACAUGAUGUGUGGUAAGACGAGAAAGGAGAACUUCCUAGGUCAAUUUUGUCCUGCACAGAAGAGUCUGUCCUUGCCUUUUUGUUCAUCUGCAGCACUGUGAGGAAACCAAAGGCAGCCUGUUCGUUCUGUGGUCACUUACUGUGUUCUGAUGGAGCCAGGAAGAAUAGAUAACAACCAACAGCAACUGUAACUGAAGUAGCAUGGGCUGCUCAAGAAGCACAUUGGAUCCCUUACCUCUGUGAGCAAAUGAUGCUAGUGACCUGCCAGACACAUCUCCAUUCCAUACUUUCCAUGGGACCAGUGUCCCAUCUGGUCACUCUGUGUCGUCCAGCGCCCAGGCAGUACGCACUUCGUGUUCUUUGAACCUGUGAUGCCCAAAGCUCCAUCACUAUUCUGAAGGCUCACGUAGUCCCAAACACAGCAGGAAGAGGAGAGGGAAAAUAUCAGAGGAUUAGCUGAAUUAUUGCUAAUGAUGGGGAAAAUCUAAGAAAUCGUCUCAUAUUGUUGCAGCACUUCUUGGACUGAUUGGUCCAUAAAUCACUGUUAGUGGGAGAGACUUCUCACACUGUGGAUUUUCUCCAUGCGUCCUGACCUUUGCUGUGAUGUGACUUGUCAUAAUCCAGUAGAGAACAAAGUCUGCUUUGUGACAAACCAUUUCACCGACUCAGCAUGUGAAAUACGUAGGCAAGGACAUGGAAAGAAGAUGGUACACCACCAGGGAAUUCUAGCAGGGUGGAAAACCAUCCAGGACUCGUGACCUUGGUACCAUCUAGCCCAGACAAUUCCCUACGCUAUCAAUCUACAUGUAUUGUUUACUAUCUCCAGUGCAGCAGUGUGUUGUUUGGUGCAACUGCUGCCAGUCCCCAUUUCACCCCAGAUAAAUUCCCAUUCUGCUUCCCAUUCUGCACUGAUGGCCAGUAGAGGUGUCUGCAGAAUUUGGCACGUCUUCAAAAGCAAGUAAGAAGAGGGAAGCUCAGACAACCUAGAAGAUAGAGAGUGAGGACACUGGGACAGAGGUUUUCCUCUCCAAGAUGACACAAAGGAGAAAAAGACUUGACACAGAAGCAGCCAGGUCCUCAGCUCUAAGCAGGUUCGCUGCCAGAAACCAGGCAUCAGGGAUUUUACACCGGAGAACUGUGUCAAUAUCUGUGUACUUAGUCACAUUUUCCUGUAAUAAAAAUCCAUUUUAGGCACUCUGAUUCUGAUAAUGUGGGAACUGGCACAUAAUUUAUAUUUCCAAAGCUGUUUUUUUUUUUUCCUGAUUCUGUUUCCCCAGCAUUUUUCAUGAGUAAAUCUCCUUUUUGUCUUUCAGCACUUUUUAUCUUUUAUUUUUUUCUUCUUUUCUUUUAACCACUGUUUCCAGUGUCCUUCUCCCUGGACUAUGCCCAGCCACAGUGGUCUGGGUUUGUAAUUAUGGCAAAAACUUGUCUCAUGACUAGGCGAUGACUAGAGAUAAUUCCCCAGAAGAAACACCUACAGAUGAAUGCCAUUUCUAUUCUUUUCCUCUCCUUUUGCUCGGAAUUGUCAGGCUGCUGCUCACCCACUGCUUCUUAUUUUU
rnacentral:lncRNA from 1 species